AUGGUAAAGCCACAAAUUUCGCCCGUCGCUGCUACAUGGUAAAGCCACAAAUUUGGCUCGUCGCUGCUACAUGGUAAAGCCACAAAUUUGGCUCGUUGCUGCUACAUGGUAAAGCCACAAAUUUGGCUCGUUGCUGCUACAUGGUAAAGCCACAAAUUUCGCCCGUCGCUGCUACAUGGUAAAGCCACAAAUUUGGCUCGUUGCUGCUACAUGGUAAAGCCACAAAUUUCGCCCGUCGCUGCUACAUGGUAAAGCCACAAAUUUGGCUCGUUGCUGCUACUGGGUUAAGCACAUUAGCCACAUUCCACACAGACACACUUCUCUUCUCUUCUCUUCUCUUCUCUUCUCUUCUCACAUUUUCUUCCUCUUUCUAUUGUUAUCUUCUUCCAUAUAAUACUCAUUCUCAGCUCCACUUCUUCCUCCUCUUUCUUCUUCAUUAACUUCCUUCCCUAUUUCUUCUUGACUUCCUUCCAUAUUUCUUCCCUCCAUCCUCCCUUUCACCACUCAUUCCAUAUUUUUCCUUUGUCAUUCUUCCUUUUCUUCCUCCUCUGUUACUCCAGUUAAAGAAGUUCUCCCUCGACAUAACAGUACAGUACAUCACCACAACACAUUUAAACAUUAACCACCCACUACACAGGUACAUUCUACAGUUACGUGACACCACACUACCUAAAUUAGACCAUCUGGAGGCUGCCUGAAACCUCUGCAGCAGCUUAAUUCUACUUGGAGUGGUACUGAAUCCUUUAAAAUUAGACAACAUGGUUUCAGAUCCUGUUAUAAGUAGUUAGAAUGCAAUUAAUGAUGAAAGAAAAAGAAGAGAAAGUAGAGUGAAGAAUGAGGAUGAGAGGGAAGAAGAAAAUGAAGAAAGAAUAAUAGUAGAAGGGAUGACUAAAGAAAAGAGGAAAUGAGUUAAAAAAAGAGUUGAAGAGAAGAAAUAUGGAAGGGUGUUAAUGAAGAAGGAGAAGGAAGAACAGAGGGUUGAAAGGAAGAAGAAAAGAAAAACAUUAAAAGAAAGAAGAGAAGAAAGAAGGAGUAAAGGAAAAUAAAAUAAUGAGGAGACUUUUUGUAGGAGGUUAAUGAAGAAAACAAACAAACAAGAAGAAAAGUUGAGAAAGAGAGUUGAAAGGAGGAAGAGAAGAAAAAUGUUAAAAGAUAGAAGAGAAGAAAGAAUGACUAAGUAAAAUAAAUAAUGAGGUAUAAAAUUAUAGAUGGAGGGAAGAAUUUUUGUAGGAGGUUAAUGAAGAAAACAAACAAACAAGAAGAAAAGUUGAGAAAGAGUGGUUGAAAGGAGAAAGACAAGAAAAACAUUAAAAGAAAGAGGAGAAGAAAGAAUGACUAAAGAAAAAUAAAAUAGAGGAAAAAAUUAUCGAUGGAGAGCAGAAGAAAAACAAGCAAAACAAGAAGAAAAGUUAAGAGAGAGGGUUGAAAGGAGGAAGACAAUGAAGAAGAAAUGAAGAAAAAAUGGAUUGAAGUAUAGAAGGAAGGAUGGAGUAGAGAGUUAUGGUAGAAAGUUAAUGAAGAAAGAGAAAGAAGAAGAAGUGAAGCUAAGAAUGAGAGGGAAAUGGAAGAAGAAGAAAAAGAACAGGAAUAUAUAAAAUAGUUGAAAAUGAGUGAAAAGUAGAUGAAGAAAAAGGAAAUAAUAACAAUAAGAAUAGAAAAAACUAUGUAAUGUGAAAAAGAAGAAGAAGAAGAAGAAGAAGAAGAAGAACAAUAAUAUAUAAACUAAUUGAAAAUGAGUGAAAAGUAGAUGAAGAAAAAGGAAAUAAUAACAAUAAGAAUAGAAAAAAACUACGUAAUGUGAAAAAAAGAAAGAAAGGGAGGAAGAAGAAGUAGAAGAAGAAGAAGAAGAAGAAGAAGAAGACUAGGCCUAAUAUAUAAACUAGUUGAAAGCAUAUGAAAAGAAGAUGAAGAAAAGGAAAUAAUACCAAUAAUAAAAGAAAAAAAAACCUAAUGUGAAAAAAAAAAUGAAAUAAGAAAGAAAGAAAAAAAAAGACAAGAAGAAGAAGAAGAAGAAGAAGAAGAAGAAGAAGAAGAACAGUAGGCCUAAUAUAUAAACUAGUUGAAAGCAUAUGAAAAGAAGAUGAAGAAAAGGAAAUAAUACCGAUAAAAAAAAAAAAACUAAUGUGAAAAAAAAAAUGAAAUAAGAAAGAAAGAUAAAAAAAGACAAGAAGAAGAAGAAGAAAAAAAGGAAGAAAAAGAAGAAGAAAUUAAAACUAUGAAUAUGAGUUGAGAAUAGGAAAAUUACCCUCCAUUAUACCACCACAAAACCACAUAACAGUUCUCCACACACACACACACACGCACACACACCACAAAGAUAAGUGUUGGCCCCUGUAAUGCGUUUGGUGUACAUGAAUGACAUAGUGUAGGGCAAAUAGCUGCACUUGUCUGUUUGAUGAAGAUGCAAAGGUAAUGAGAUAUCAGGUGGAGGAAGAGUAUUGUUUGAGGCUGCAAGAAGGUGCUGAGAGAUGCAAUAGUUGAGGUUGAGAUAGAGAAAUGCAAUGUGAUUCUUAACUCCUUGAUUGCGGAUUUCCUACAAGAAGACAUCAAGCUUCAGGAAUGGAACAAAAAGUGGCUGCUACAAUUCAAUGAAGAAAAAUAUAAAGUCCUGCACAGCAAUACCACAUGGGAAACUCUCCACUAUCCACCACAGAGGCAGAGAAAGACCUGGGAGGAUUUGUUACCAGGCUACCAGUGAAAGCCAAAUCCGUGCUAAUCGCAGCGGACGGGUUAAGAAACGUAAAUCAAACGGAGACCCAGCUGGAAUUGUGACAUAGGGAGCGAUCAAAUUAACCUGGUAGCAGCGACGGGCCAAAUUUGUGGCUUUACCGUGUAGCAGCGAUGGGGCAAAUUUGUGGCUUUACCGUGUAGCAGCGAUGGGGCAAAUUUGUGGCUUUACCGUGUAGCAGCGAUGGGGCAAAUUUGUGCCAUGAUAUAAACCCCCCAAAAUAGAUGAUACAUAAUCUGAUCACAAAUGCUUUGAUACAUAUUAUUAAAUGGUUUGUGUGAGGAGUGAUUUUUUUCUCAUUUUUCUCGCUUUGAGGGACCAUUAAGAAACAUGAUCCCCGCUGCUACCGGGUUAACGAGGCACAGGAAGAAAAAGGUUUAGGUGCUACAAAACAAAAGAACUUGCCCCAGAGAGAAACGCUUGAGUUUAUAGGAGAAUACUACAAGAUCCUAACCACCAUGAGGGCAGCGUGCCACUACAGAGGAAGGAGGAAAAAGGAAAGAUAUAAUACAACAUGGAUGGAAUUAUAAAUGAGAAAGGACAGAAAUAGAUACAAAUAAAAUAAUUACUAAGGAAAAGGAAGAAAUAGAAAAUACGUAAUAAAAUAGGAGAGGAAAUAAAAGAUAGAAAGGACAGAAAUAGACAAAAAAAGAAAAAAAGAA